UGCUGACUAGCUAGCCUAACCUUAAAAAACCAACAAACCAAAAUUAAUAAACCCAAAAGCACUAACAACCAACUUAAACAAAACAUUUUCCCCCCUUAGUAAUGGGCGACAGAAAAGGAGCCACCAGAGCUAUAGAAAAAGUACCGCAAGGGAAUGCUGAAAAAAUCAAUGAAAUAAGUCAGUGAAGCAUUGAAAAGCAGAGAUAUUUCCUCGUACCUUUUGCAUCAUGAUUUAGCCAGUGUUGUCCAAGCAAAGGGCCCUAUAGUUUGACAACCCGAAACUAAGUGAGCUACUCCAAGACAGCCUAAUUAUUUAGGGCAAACCCGUCUCUGUGGCAAAAGAGUGGGAAGAACUUCGAGUAGUGGUGACAGACCUACCGAACUUAGUCAUAGCUGGUUGCCCGGGAACUGAAUAGAAGUUCAGCCUCACGGCUUCUCCCUUCUUAUUUUAACGUGAUACACAGAUAAUUGAGAAACCAUGAGAGUUAGUCGAAGGGGGUACAGCCCCUUUGAAAAAAGACACAACUUUUACAGCAGGAUAAAGAUCAUAAUAGAUAAAGGCAAAGUGUUCCAGUGGGCCUAAAAGCAGCCAUCCACAUAGAAAGCGUUAAAGCUCGGGCAUAACAACCCACCCUUAAGUUCCGAUCACCAAAUCUUAUUCCCCUAAAUUUACCGGGCUGUCCCAUGCAAACAUGGGAGCAACUAUGCUAAAAUGAGUAAUAAGAGAAUAAAUGCCUCUCUCCCUGCAUACGUGUACAUCGGAAACGGACCAACCACCGAAAUUUAACGGCCCCAAACCUAGAGGGAAGUGGAUAAGAAUUUAAAAUACUAGAAAAACAACCACCCAUAAACCGUUAACCCCACACAGGAGUGCUUCUAGGGAAAGACUAAAAAGGAAGAGAAGGAACUCGGCAAACACAACACAAGCCUCGCCUGUUUACCAAAAACACCGCCUCUUGUUAAAGAAGAAAAAUAAGAGGUCCCGCCUGCCCUGUGACUAUAUGUUUAACGGCCGCGGUAUUUUGACCGUGCGAAGGUAGCGCAAUCACUUGUCUUUUAAAUGGGGACCUGUAUGAAUGGCAAGACGAAGGCUUAACUGUCUCCUUUUCCAAGUCGAUGAAAUUGAUCUACCCGUGCAGAAGCGGGUAUAAUUACAUAAGACGAGAAGACCCUAUGGAGCUUCAGACACUAAGGUAGAUCACACCCUCUGUACCUGGACAAAAAGAGUACAAGCCUAGUGAUUCCUUCCCUAAUGUCUUUGGUUGGGGCGACCAUGGGGAAACAAAAAACCCCCACAUGGAGUGGGCACACAGUUCCUAUAAACAAGAGCCACAGCUCUAAUUACCAGUAAUUUUGACCAAUAAAGAUCCGGCAAUGCCGAUUAAUGAACCAAGUUACCCUAGGGAUAACAGCGCAAUCCCCUUUAAGAGUCCAUAUCGACAAGGGGGUUUACGACCUCGAUGUUGGAUCAGGACAUCCUAAUGGUGUAGCCGCUAUUAAGGGUUCGUUUGUUCACGAUUAAUAGUCCUACGUGAUCUGAGUUCAGACCGGAGAAAUCCAGGUCGGUUUCUAUCUAUGAAGUGAGCUUUUCUAGUACGAAAGGAUCGAGAAGAGGGGGCCAAUGCUUAAAGUACGCCUCACCCUUACCUAAUGUAAGCAACUAAAUUAGGCAAGAGGGCACAGUCCUUCUUCGUCGAAGAAAAGCGACAU
rnacentral:rRNA from 1 species